rnacentral:lncRNA from 1 species
CAUCUUUCUAGUCCAAAUAAAGGAUUUCCAAAAUUAAAUAAUAACUAGAAUAACGUCUGAAUAGAAUUGCCAUUAUUAACUAUGAAUGCGAAAAUGAACAGAAUGAAUGACAACAACUAUCCACCUGUUGAAGUAAAUUACCUUCAGAUAUAAUUUCAUUGGCUGGUUGAACAAUUGAAAUAUCAUCGAUCGACUGCUUGCCAGCCAACCCACCAAUCUCUGCAUCAGAAGAAGAAGAUUCGUCUGAAGAUAUAUCCACCUGAUCAUCAAAUGGCAUUGGCCUCUUCAUGAUCUUAAAAAAAAACAACCCUGGUGAGAACAAACAAACAUUAGAAGGUCCGAUCAAUGGGAACCUUUAGAGAGUUGGAAAUAACUACACACCAGACGCAGCAGAACAUUCACACACGUAGAGACCGACACAAGCUUCAUGGCACGUACCACCACGUAAAAGAAACAUAUUGAUGAACUACAGAGUCAAUUGAGGCUGCAACUAAUCAAGCCAUUCAUGAACAUCUCCAGCUCAGCUGUCUAAUAUUCUUGUUCAUUUACGCCCAUAAUUAAUUUCCAAUAUUUCCUUCCAUGCAAGGAACUCCAUUAUGUGACUACAGUUCUUUAUUAGUAGACUAUAGUCUAUAGGACAUUAAUACAAUUUAAUCCAGAAAAGGGGAAAGAAGAAACUUUGAGGAUAAUGAUACCAAUGGAAGAUAGGAAGAAAUAAUGACACAGUUCCUUAAUGGUAAGAUAAGGUAACUUAUGUGUAAUGUUGAAGCUUCCUUUAUUUUUCUUCACAAGGUUUGCCUUCUGCUUUCAUCUCUAUGAAUUUCAUGUCCGUUAUGUCAAUCAACUGUUAGUUAAUGACAAUUUCUUCUGAUAGCAUCUACGUUUCUAAAAUACCAUGUUACCCCUGCUAAAGUUUAACUAACAGUAUCAUUCUAAAUAUAAUUAAGUUAGAUCAACCUUCACUGUUAUAUUUUUUCAGCUGGAAGUCUAAGAAUCAGUUGAUCUGUAAUCAAAUCUACAAAGAUGAAAUUAGCCCUGCUGUAUGCCUUAGUCUAGGCUAAUAUUUGCUAGAUUUCUAGUGAAUAAGUUUAAGACAUAGUUAGUAUGGUAAAUUGAAUACACCUUUUUUUGGAAACUGUCUACAUAGCCUCAUUAGUGUAAUUCAACCUAAUAAUUAUUGUUAUUGUAGAGCUCUAGCAGAUCAGUUGGAAGGCAAUGAGGAUGAGCAUAUGAAGUACCGGAUUACGGCGGUAGACUUUAUUCGGGUAUGUAUUUUAGUACGUUAUAUUCAUCAAGUAUUUGAUCCUGCUUGUAUGUUAUCAGACGGAAGCCUAAACAUAUAUUCCGGAAGUUUGUUUUAUAUAUGUAGCAGUUAUUACCAUGGCUUGUCUGUUGGAGAAACAACCUAUGGCUGUGUGAGACCUACCUGGAGCCAUAUGGAUUUCAGAUUUAGUAAAAAUACCUAAGAUAAAUGAAGCAGACUUGUGAGUAACCUGAAAUGGCUUUCAUGAAAUGCUGAUUUAGCACUGCAACAGCUGAAUGUUUUCUGAAUAAGUCCCAAGGGAAGCUGAAACGUAAAUAUGACCUUCCUAUAAAUUUCUUACAAACUCCUUCUGAAUUAUAAUAUUUGAAUGGGAAGAGAAGUUAAAUCUUAUUGUUGAAAUGGGACAAAUCAUUUCUUUCUCUCUAUGUUAUACUUCUACUAUCUAAGGUUGCUGUCAUUGUUGCCCUGCAACUCUUGUGAUGAUUGUCAAUGGUUUGAUUGUUUCAAUUGCUCCUUCACUUCUCCACUAUGGCCCUAAAAUCAAGGUUACCAGUAACACGGAUUGGUGGAUUUAUGUUGAGGGAAACAAUUUAUGGUUCUCUAGAAAAAACAUUUGAUGAUUCAAAUACUAAUAUUAAGGAACCAAGUGACAAUUGAGAUCAACUCAAGAUGUAAGUGCUCUCAACCUGUCAGAUAAGCUAAUCAGUGUAAUGGGAAGGAUGAACUUACUACUAUGUUUAUGUUGGUACCAAGUACCAUCAUAGAAGGACUGUGAACCUGUGACAAUAUAUUACCGGGACAAUCACAAUCAUCUCAAGAUCAUGUCAUAUAUGGCUAACUAUAGUUAGAGCUAUUCUGAAAUUUUAUUCCGAGAAUAUGAAGGUCAUUUUGUUUGAUUUAUCUUGUCAUCUGUUGAUCGGCAAUACACAGCAACCACCUACCAUUCUGUUUCAUUAUUAAGCUUGACAUUAUUUCCUUAAUCUUUUUCUUGUUCAAUUUGCAGAUAAUUUUGUGAAAUCAAUUGUUUAAACAGUUGCAGUUAAGGAAUUUCCUAUUUCUGAUAUGUUAGUUUAUAUACUACCUUUUUCUCCUCCACGUGAUCUUUACUGUGAACCUAUUGGUACUGGGUAUGGAUGUCCCCAAAUCCUGCUUCCAAUAUACUCCUAAUUGAGACUCCUAAUCCCACACGAACUAGGGAAAAUCCUAAGGCUAUAUGUUAUUAACAAUCAUUUUUAGAAACAGAACAAAAUCCAAUUAUCCAUGAAGAGGGCAGAUUACUCACUCAAAAUGAAAGAAUAAAUACAUGCAUGCUGAAUGAAUUGCAAAUUUAUCCGAUGCACAUAUUAAAGACCGCCAUGAUUAAGAUGAAAUAACGAAAUUUAAAUUUCAGCUCAAUUGCUCUAACAAUGUCGAAUUGAAAGAAAAAACGGGUACAUUCGAGAUUAAAGAAAUUAAAACAAGCAUAAAUAAUAGGAAACGAUGUCUUAAAUUCUGGAAGAUCAAUAUACAAAUAUAUAUACAGGGAGUGAGAGAAUUCCUUACAAAUGCUGCAAUGGAGAAGAAAUUGCUCGACUUGAAGGUUGCCCCUAUCCUUUUCUACUUCUCAGUAUCUGUAAAAAGACAGAUUAUUUUUGCUAUAACAGUGUACUUUAUUUGGUCUGGAUUAGUACCAGUCUGAUCUAGAAGAGAGAAAAAAGAAAGAGAUGAAAUGAGCUCAAUCUGUUGGAUCCCUCAGGCCUCAGCUGUUUUCAGUUUUUAUUUACUAUAAAGAGUCUAAUUUGACCUUCUUAUUUUCGCUCCAUAUACAAAAG